CCUUUACCCCUCACCUCUGUUCCUGUAGAUGAUCCCUGUAGAAUUCAUUGGUUCACCAAUCGCACUUCGGUGCUCUCCAUACUUGGGUCAACCAUGGGUGCUCUCUCUGGGAUCAGAGCAUUGCUGAACCCUCAUCAGAGAGUCUUCUUCUUGCUGUAGACUGUAGUUAACACAGAAAUCCACAACUGGACAAUGUGCAGAGAGUUUUUGGAGCACUCAGCCUUAAUCAUCAACAAACACACUCUCUUCAAGGCUCGGGGAUCUAUUCAGAAGGCUGAAAGGCUGUGAAAACAGAGGUGAUGGAUGACUCCAAGAAAAUAACUUCUUCCAGACACAAGGCUGAUGUACAUAUGAACUUACAGAGACUGUUACAAGUGUGCACAAGUUUAAGGCAGACACAAUCCCAGCACAGAGAAGGGGAAGUAGACACAAAGUCCCACCCAUAACCAAGAAGCUGUUUGCAAUUGGUACCUGCUGGGAGAGAGAAACACUUUUCUUCAACAAGGAUGGUCACAAUCUGCCUGGUGAUGGGCUUCUCGCUGGCCUUUUGGCAACUGUGGAGACCCCCAGCUUGUUCCAGUCAGACUGAAGACUCUCCAGUAUGCUGUGGAGCUGGCUCCUGGGCUUUAGAGGUCCUUGGAGGUUACAAUCCAGCACUGAGGGAAGCCAACACAGGAACAUGAGGCAGCCAGUGACAUCCAGUCAAGAGCAGAGCGAAUGAACGUCUGUAUGUUGACCGACCACUCAGCUCACUUUCUCCAUUUUCAG